rnacentral:rRNA from 1 species
UACGAAGGGGGCUAGCGUUGCUCGGAAUCACUGGGCGUAAAGCGCACGUAGGCGGGUCUUUAAGUCAGGGGUGAAAUCCCGGAGCUCAACUCCGGAACUGCCUUUGAUACUGGAGAUCUUGAGUCCGGGAGAGGUGAGUGGAACUCCGAGUGUAGAGGUGAAAUUCGUAGAUAUUCGGAAGAACACCAGUGGCGAAGGCGGCUCACUGGCCCGGUACUGACGCUGAGGUGCGAAAGCGUGGGGAGCAAAACAGG